CUAUUCUUUUAUAUUUUUCAAUUUAGUUUUGUAAGGGCAUGAAAGAUUUUAAGGCUAUUGGGCCUUAUGCGAGGCAGUCAGGCCCACAAAGCUAGGGACAACUUGACCUUGAAGAGGGUUUUUCAGAAAUUAGAGUUCAUUAGCUAACUUCUCAUUCUCUCUCUAGAGCUCUCUUCCCUAACUUUGCUUUGCCUUCUCUCUACAUUUCCAGCUCAUUGAACCGUCUGAUUCUUCGUUGGGUGUUGCCAAAUCAUUUCCGGCAUAGAGAGCUUCGAUUCAAACCGAUCACUUCUUCAUUUCCACCGGUAAGUCUCUCUCCCCUCUUCUCCGCUGUUAUACAGCCUAGAGCAUGCAACUUUAUUGGUUGCAUGUUACUAGUGAAGUUUCCUCUUCAUAUUUUCUACCCAAUCAAAC
rnacentral:lncRNA from 1 species